GCUAUGUGCAAAUCAUCAGGAUGAGAACCUGCUGCAGGUUCGAGUCUCACACAGUGAGACAACGGAGCCGCUUGCGGCGACGGCCCGAAGGGCGAGCAAAGCGAGUCAUCCUGCACGACCCACCA
rnacentral:sRNA from 1 species